UGCCACUGAUGAGCUGUAACAACCCAAUCCUUAUUAGCUGGUCAAGCCUUUGCCCCGUGCACUCUGGUAGCCCCGUAUCAUCUGCUUAUCAUGACACUAAAUGAUUAAGGAGUUCAGAACAAUGGCCAUACAAGGGGAAAAAAGAAUAAAUACCUGACACAGGUAUUGUAGACUGUCGCUGAUCUGGAACUCCAUGACCUGAUCGGAGGGUGGCAACAAAUGGCUGAGCCUGUUACGAGGGAUGUGUAAGUAAAAUCAACAGCAGGUGAAAAUAAUAGAUACUUGAACUACUAUUGCUACAAACAGCGGUUGUGUACUGCUGUGACUACUGCAUAAAAUUAAUUCAUAGACUUAACAUGAUCGGUUUCUGGCAGAGCUGAAAAAGAGCUGACAUGCUCAUUCCAUUCUACUUCCACGGUAUCUUUUGAUGUGGAAAUCCACUGAGCAGUUGAACGGAGAGCAACUGAUGCAUUGGACGGGAAUCCAUAGCGAUCAGCAAAAGCCUUCUGCAGGUAUUCCACUCCACCUGAGCCCUUUAUAAUUGGUUCUAAUAGUUGGAUACGUGCUCUACUGACUUCUGUCUUCAGAGCCUGUUUAUUUUAC
rnacentral:sRNA from 1 species